GCGAACGGGUGUGCGUUUCCGUGAGUGGCUGCACAGUUCAGGGCGACCGGUGAGAAGCAGCUCUCUCGAGGCCUGUUCCCGCAUGCUGCGGGGCCGGUGGCCCUCCCCAAGGUCCCUGUGCCGGGGUCCCCAAGCGCGGACGGCGCCCUGUGCGCGGCCGCGGUGGAGCUGAGGCGCGGAGGCCCAGGGCGCUAAAGGCAAAACACUGAUUUAGGCCUCGACUCCGCCGUUUUUGGGAAAGGGAAAAAGAGACAGGUAUCGAAAGGAGAUCGUUUCAGUGUCGGCUUUCCUGCAAGCACGGUUCUCAUUUCUGCAGACAAUGGAACACUCACUGCCGGCUGUGCAAAAUCGAGGGCCCGUUCUGAGAUUUGCGGUGUGUGUAUGAGACUGGGAAGACUGAAAAUAUGAAGCAGCAAGGAUAAAGGAGAAGACAAUAAUAAUUAUCCAAGUGUGCAUGCUGCUGGAGAGUUUGAGAGUGAAGCAUGGUGGCUGAACAGCAGGGCGGAAUGAAGGACCAGUGACAAGCUGGGACAAGCUGAGUUUCAAAAAGAAUUUGGAGACAGAGCUGCAACUUGGAUCCACACGACAGAGGCACAGGGGAGCAUAAAGGCCAUUGUCCUGAGCUGUAGAAGUGAACAACAGAGAGAGGGCCUCUCUCAGGCUCCCUGAUGGAAACUGAAGAAAAGUGAAGAGAUUCUCUUCAAUAAAGGCACACCAGACCACUGUGCUUGCAGGGUGAAAAGGUAUGACAUCAACUGAGAUUGUAGAAGAAGCGAAUGAAGACAGACACUCAAGGAAAGCUGUGUACUGAUGUAUUGAUACCGUAUGCCCAGUCCUGGCCAGAGGCCAUCAGUGGACACAUUCCAUGACACCAGCUGAGCAAGGUGAAGAGACAGACUGGAGAUGAGGGUCAGUGCUUGUGAAGUAGGCUGCCAUGGGCAUUUAUGGUUAGGCUGGGACCACACUAGGAGAUUUCAGUGCCUUUGUACCUGACUAUUUCUGUUAGCAAGUGACAUGCUUGAUGGUUGUUUUUCCUAAUUUCUUACAGAAAAGAUACUUUUGAAAAACUCUAAAUUUCUCUAUGUUAAGCUUCCAGGAACAGCCUUCCUGUCCCCAUCUUGUGAGUUUUAAUUCAGGAUUCUUAACAAAAAAUAGGAACCAGAAAGGGGCAGUGACCAUCAGGAAUGGUACAAUACUCCAACCAAGGAAAGACUUUGUAUUAAGGCAGUAGACUUGGAUGCUGUCUCACAGACCUGGACUGCUACAUUAGCUCUACUGUAUGAUCCUUAGGCACUCAACCCUUCUGGGACUCAGUUUUCUUAAAAUACAAUUGACCUGAUAAUGCCUGUAUUAAUGGGCUGCUUUAACAAUUACAUGAAAUAAUAAUAUGUGAAGGAGUGGGCAGAGUAUAUGGUAUACUGCAGGUACCCAAUCAUGGUAGCAGCAGAUACUGCUAGCAGUGGAUAGAAAACUUCAGACCUUGAUCAACAAAGCCACAGUUAGAAACUCCUGCCUCAAGUGUUGCAGCUGAAGAUGUUGGCACUGUUUCCUAGGUACUACAAGGACUAUACUAAUGACCUUUUUAGAUUGGCUUACUCUGGAGGCUACACUGGACACUAGAAUUUUAGAUUCCAGAUAUGUUAUCAGUUGUAAUUCAAAUGUUCAGCCACUGUGGUGAAAUACUUAAUUUUCUGAACUUCCUUUUGCCCUGUGCUAAAUAAGAAUUGAACUAUGUCUUAGUCAAAUCAAAGUGGUAGAACCAUCGAAUGAUUCAAGCUACUGAUCUGUGAAUGAUUUCUCAUGCGUCUUUUCUGUUCCUUUGUCCCUGUCCUGACAUCCUGACAUAAGUGCUCUCUCUCUCUUUCAAUAAAUGUUUUAGAAUAAUAAAGACACAACUGGAGUCCAUGCACCUCCUUGUUCAUU